AAGGUACUCUCAUCUGUUCCAAAAUUUUUGGCUUAGAUUUGUCUAAAUAUGAAUGUAUCUAGUCACGUUUUAGUAUUUUGAUACAUUCAUUUUUAAACAAACCUAAGACAAGAAUUUUGGGACGGAGGGAGUACAAG
rnacentral:pre_miRNA from 1 species